rnacentral:lncRNA from 1 species
ACGAGAGUUUUAAAGUUCCUACCAUAGCAAAAUACUCAUGCUUACUAGAUUAGGAAAACCUCUAUUUCAACCUAUAAGCAUUGAGGAUAGUUAAGCUGUGUAGACCCUAAGGAACUAGUAAUGCAGUUAAAAUCAAUAUUAUGUGCUCUCCAUCCAUUGAUCUUAGCUACUUUUGUCCUCAGAAGUAUGCAACCACUCACAUUCACCAUAUUCACUAUGUGCUACUUCUGUUCCUAGAAGUACCACCCACAUAUACACACUAUACUUUGUGUUGUUUCUAUCUUGGAGACAUGCACCUAUGCUGCUCCAACCUUGGGAGUAUGCACUCAUUCACCCAUACACAUUCCACAUCCACUUAGAAAAUGUUCUACUCAUACACUGGGAGAAGACACCCAAAAAUAUUCAAUGUUUUAUUCUACUUAUCCAAUAAAGCUCUAGAUAUUUCAGUUGAUACUUCCUAUUGUUAUCAAUGCAUUAAAAGGGAUGGCUGAUCUCUAAAAAAGAAGAAAAAAAUGAGAAAAGAAAGAGGACAAAAGUCCGAAUACAAAAGAAAAGAAAGACAGCCAAGUCCUUAUUCUCAAAUUAGGGAGGUAUGUUAUCCCCAAGGAGCAAGUGUAGAAUUAGAUGUUCACUAUCAGUUAUCACCUCUCAUAACCACUUUCAUUCUUAUCACUUACUUCAUUCACUUCACUCACAUGCACAUAUGACUUGAUUGUAUAAUUAGUUUCUUCGGAUCCAUGAUUUAACUAUAUACAAGUAGGUUUGAAUUGUCUCCUCCACCUAUAAGCUCCACAUAAUCCAAUAAGAAGUAGGGUAAGAGAGAGAAUCCAAUGCCUUAGUCCUAAAAAUACUACAUAUUCUGAGAGAAGAGAGAAGGUAUACUUUACACUUGCCUUGAGAGGAUCCAAAAAUACCACAUAUGAGAGACUUGAAAGGGUCAUACAAGGAAUCUCUGAGUUUUAUUUGAAAAUAUUACAAAACUCCAGAAUAAUAGUUGAUCAAAGAGUGAGUAACAUAGCGCUUGACUUAACUGUUCUGUCUUUCAACUGCUCAAGACCUAAGUGAUAGCUAUAAGCCCC